rnacentral:lncRNA from 1 species
AAAGAGGUCGCAGCGAUGAGGAGUAGAGGCGCAGUGAAGCUUCAUGGUCAACUAGAAGGGGGCAGAUGGGGGCUCUCGUGGAGAGGGCUAUCCGGCGAGGGAGGGCGGCCGGGAAGUGGCAAAACGGAUGCGCGGCAGCUUGAGGAUGCUCCUGGCGCGAGGAAUCGGCCAGUGCCUACCCGACGGCGACGAAUUUAACCGGCAAAGAAAGGGGAAAACAUGGAGCUUGGUUACUAGCAAUGGUGGUUUGGGAGGGGGAAGUGGUUCUGGAGGGGCUAGCGCUGCUUAUAACGGUGAAGGGGAACCAAUAGGAACGACACGGUGAUGCUGGGCGGCCAUUGGCGGCAAGGGCAACCGUCGGGCAUGGCGGCCCCGUGGCGGCACUUAUGUCUGUGUGGCGCCCAUGCCAUGCGCACGGAGCUCUACUCAACCAGGCACAAGGAGUGGCGUGGGACAAGCAGGGCUUCACGUGGGCGUCGUUGGGGUGGCCAAUCGCUGAGGGGAGGCUUGUUGGCGCCCCCAAUGGUGAGCGGCGC